rnacentral:misc_RNA from 2 species
CACCACUCAAGCCUCGCUUGGUAUUGGGCGAUCCGCGGCCUUCUCUGGCCCGCGCGCCCCCAUGUCUCCGGCCGAGCCGUCCGUCUCUUAAGCGUUGUGGUCUAUCAGUUCGCUUGUGGAGGCCGGGCGUGUUCGCCGCCGCUAAACCCCCCUUCUCAAA